rnacentral:misc_RNA from 1 species
UUUUAUCCUCGCUUGUCUAGUUUUUUUACGUUUUCUUUCCCAACUGUAUGGGGUUGACGCGCAGCGGUAAGAGAGAACGAAAGCUCAAAUGACACUGCAUAAGCGAUGUGGGAAGUCGAGUGACUAGGUGGCGAUGCCGAGCUCUUAAGUCCGAAUACCUGCCAGCAACCGAAUUGUUAAU